rnacentral:lncRNA from 1 species
AGAAACUUACGUAAUACUUUGUAGACUGAAGCCUUCAGGCUUGGAGUUUUUAACUUCUUGUUAUCUUCAGUUCUGCUGCUGCUGUUUGCUAAGAACCUCGUGUUUUUGCAGUGAGGUUAGUGUCUUUGUUUACAGGGUACUUAGAGUUGUGAGGUAUUGGGCUGUGUUCUUAGAUUAGAUUCCCCAUUAGAAAUGAUAGUCACAGCAGUGCUAUAAAGUGGAGCUAAACUCCAAGGGCAGUUUGUUUGGAUGGGACCUUGUAUGAGGGCACAGAAGACAAAAGAUGUACAGAAAGUAUAGGUAAGCUCUUUAGCUUAGUUAGCAGAAAGGCAGGUAAAGGAUGACACCCCUCCUAGUCUCGUCCACAUGUUGCAGGAAUCAUAUGGUAAAUUUGGGCAGCAUUGUGCUCUGUGUGCAUAAUGAUUUUUUUCCUUACAGAUUGGUAGGGCAGUCAGUAGCCUCACUGGAAAUAUUAUCUUAAACUUAGAAUUGUUACUGUUUUUCUGCAGAGAGUAGAAAACCUGAGGCAGACAUGUCAGUUCUGAAAUGGGGAAGUCUGGCUUCUUACUGUGGUUAUCUGACUGCCAGGUUUUGUUGUUGUUGAGAAGAUGUCUUACAAAGUGUCAGCUGAAAGUUUCUUGCUGACUCUUACACGUUUUUGUACAUAUUUAUGAAAUACUUCUCAAGCGCUCUGUGUUUUCUCCUCUGCUUUUUCUGUAUUUUUUAACUUAAAAAAAAGUGUGUAGGUGAAAUUAAGAUAAAGGAUUCCAAGAAGGAUUUGUAUUGGGUGUGUGCGCCUAUGGAACCUCAUCUCUUGCAAAUUUCUCUGCAUGCACCUAACCAGUUUUCAUCUACAGUACAUUCUGACACGCUUGGGAUAACCCUAUGGCAAAGAAAACAAUGUUCUUUAGCAUUCUCUUGGUUUUCCUUCUAAAUUAAAUACUCUGUUUAAUAAAGAAUGAAUUGUAGUUACAAAUGCUUGGGUCCGUGAUGUGCGUGAUAAAAUCUACUGUGAUGUGUACUCUUCAAAAAUACUUGGGAAAGACAGCAGAACUCAGGUUUGUUUUAAUGUCUGGGCGAAGGACAGGCCGAACUGCAGUUGAUAGGAAAAAGAUGUGCUGUAAAUUAUAAUGGUAUAGGGCAAGGUAAUUACUAUUAAACAGCUCCUUUCUUCCCCUUAAAAUUAGUGGGGAAAGUCCUGUGUGGAGAAGUACAUGCUGCUUAUUGUUUCAUUGUAUGAAUUACAAAAACACAACAACCUAUGCUCAUGUCCUAGGAUAGUGCCUGGUAGAGGUGGCUUUUGGUAAGUUUGCGGAACAAAUUGAAUUCUCACAAACUGUUGCUUUUGAUGAUGGCUCCAUUCUGUCUCAAGCUUAGAGCACUGUUUUUUGAGCUUGGAGCUGAAACCUGCAGAGGGUUGCCUUCCAGCCUUGGGCACAGGGCUUGUUUGAGCCUUUAGAACCUGGACCCUGACCUCACCUCCAGCCUGCCCGACCCUGUGGCUGACCUGACCUCAUCAUUUCCGAAAUGGCAGGUGGUGGUUUCCUACAGUUCCUUCCCUUCCUGAGCAGCUAAGCUGUGGCCUCUUCUGGACACUGCUCAGAAAUACUGAAGUGUCCCCAGUCUGGCUUCUUUUGUAGUGGGUUCCUCUUGUUUAUUUUUGUUUGUUCUUUUGUUGAGGGAGAAGCACAUUUCUCAGGAAAAUAGUUCUUGACUUUGUUUUGUAAACUGUGCAUGGUAUAUAAAGCAUGCUAUUAUUUCCUCUUCCUUCCUAGCUUUAGCUAAAAAUCUUGUAUUCACUUGUAAAUGAACUGGUAAGAAUGAUAUUUUGAUGAUACAAAAGGCUGAAAACAAAACUUUUUUGGAGACAAUUAGGAAAUCGAAACAUGGAAUGUGUAUUAGAUGAUAUGUAAGAAUUAUAACUGUAGAGUUUUUAAUCUAUAUUAAUGGUAUUGUGGUUAUGUUAAAAAAUUCUCAGCUGUUAAAGUUACAUGGAGUUCCCUGCUGGCCUAGUGGGUUAAGGAUUUGGUGUUGUCAUUGCUGUGGCUCAAGUUUGAUCCCUGACCUGGGAACCUCUGUAUGCCAUAGGCAUGGACAAAAUAAUAAAUAAGUGAAAAUUAUAAAAAUAAAAAAUUUAGGAUAGGCACAGGCACUAAUGGGAAAUUUAAAAAUAUUGGCAGAUUUUUUAUACUUGUUGAAGGUACAUUGGGGUUUGUUACUAUUUUCUGUACGUUUGUGUGUAUUUGGAAAUAUCCAUAAUAAUUAGUUAAAAUGCAUUACCAAUUAUAGCUGUAGAGGAUGAAAUUUAAUGUAGUAAAAUUAUGUGGUGGACAUUUGAGCAAAUUGACUAAUCAAAAAUUCUCCACUUUUCUAUAAGUUCUGCUUUUAGUGAACAGAUUUUAAGAAUAAGGAGGAUUUUGUGGAAAUGUGGUCACAAGAUUAAAAUUCUCUUUGAGAUGUGGUAAUGUUAAUUUCCUCUUUUGUCUUUUAUCUUCAGGGCAAGAUAAGAGUUGCCCAUUUCACAGAUGAGGAAACUAAGAUCUUAGAGAGACUAACUAGUUUAUGCCAAUCCCUCAGCAAGUAAGAAGUGGCAGUGGGACUGGAGCCGAGACCUUGACUCAUUCUCAGGUGCCCAUUCUCUUUUCUACACAUACUUCUUUUUGUUUUUGUUUUGUUUUUUUUUUUUUUUGUCUUUUUGCCAUUUCUUGGGCCGCUCCCGUGGCAUAUGGAGGUUCCCAGGCUAGGGGUCGAAUUGGAGCUGUAGCUGCCAGCCUACGCCAGAGCCACAGCAACACAGGAUCCGAGCCGAGUCUGCGACCUACACCACAGCUCACGGCAAUGCCGGAUCAUUAACCCAGUGAGCAAGGGCAGGGAUUGAACCUGCAACCUCAUGGUUCCUAGUCAGAUUCGUUAACCACUGCGCCACAAAGGGAAUUCCUACACAUACUUCUAAGUGCUCUUUUCUGUGGUGUUAAAAGCCAGAGGUUUUCGAGCAUUUUGGUGUCAGGACACUUUUGCCUUCUUAAAAAUGAUCAAGGCCCCAAAAGAGUUCCUGUUUUGGCUCAGCAGGUUAAGAACCCGACUAGUGUCCAUGAGGAUUCGGGUUUAAUCCCUGGCCUCUCUCAGUGGGUUAAGGAUCCACGUUGACAUGAGCUGUGUUGUAGGUGGCAGACUUGGCUUGGAUCUGGUAUGGCUGUAGUGUAGGCUGCAGCUGCAGCUCCAAUUUGACCCCUAGCCUAGGAACUUCCACAUGUCACAGGUGCAGCCCUUAAAAAAAAAAAAAAAAAAUUUAUCAAGGCCUCAAAGAUCUUUUGUUUAUAUUGACUAUAUCUAAACACUAUUUGACCUAUUAGAAAUUAAAACUGGGAAAUGUUUACAGUACUUAUUUAAAAAUAACAAACUUGUUAAGAGUUAACAUAAAUAGCAUAGUUUUAGGAAAAAGGUAUUCCAAAACAAAAAAUGCAGUGAGAGGCAUGAGAUGAUUUUACAUUUUGCCACUCUCCCUAAUGGAUUGCUUAGUAGAAAACAGCUGGAUUUUCAUAACUGCUUUUUAUAGUCAGUCUGUUGUGAUAUGUUUUGUUUGAAGUAUAGAAGAAAAUCCGGCUAUACAUAGUAUUUCAGUGUCUUCUUCAUGUAGUUGUGAAUAUUCUUUGAUGUUUCAAAACCCAGCAAGCAGUGGAUUCUUGGGUUAGUCGCAAUGUUGAAUCUGAAACCUUAUUAAUGAAUUCCUUGUACUCUAACGUAAACGUCUAUUGGUCCAUCUUGCACUUUGGAUGGAUCUUUCAUCUGUGUGUGAUUUUAUAACAUCGUACAUUGGUCAUUUGAAAAAUAAUGAUUUACUGAGUUCUGUAGAUCUUUCAAAUAUUUGACUCAUUUGAUUACACAGUAUUUGACAAACCACAUUCAUUAAUAUGACCAUUAACCUUAUCCAGAAAGUCUCUAAGAAGUGGGAAGCAAUCAAGAUUUUGGCAUCCAGUUCAGGUUUUCCAAAAUUCUGAUUUUUUUUUUUCUUGAAAGCUCUCAUUUUAUCAUCAGCAGAUAUUGUCAGUUUUUUCCUUGAAGUGUCAGGCUCACACUUUAUUUUAGAGAAAGUGUCUGCCAGGUACCUAAGUCUGAAUAACUAUAAAUUAUCUCCCAGUCAUUCUUUUAGCAAAAAUGGUAUUCUUGAAAAAGUAUAUAGUUGAGCUCACAACUCUAUUGCAUAAAUGCUUUUUCUCAAGACACCUGUCGUAUUAGAUACGCAGAAAUGCUUUUUGUGUGUCUCCCAUUUCAUCACACAGAUUAUUAAAAAUACCAAGUUCUCAAGAAUAAAAUUUAAUAAAGUUAAUAACUUUUAUUGUUUUAUCAAGGUCAUUGUAAUUCAAAGCUGGCUUUUUAGAAACGAUUGAAAGCCAGUGAAGGAUACAGUUUUUGCUAGUACAGUUUUGUACCCCAACCUUGACUCAUGCUAAAGUGUUAGCAGUUUUGCCCUCCAUUGCUUUUGUACCAAUAGAGCAGAUCUCAACAUGGUUGUUUCAGAAUAAAUCAUGAGUUUCAAAAGUUCAUCAUUGCAGGAUUUGAGCCUCAUCUUCAACCUACACCACGGUUCAUGGCAAUGCCAGAUCCUUAACCCACUGAGCGAGGCCAGGGAUCGAACCUGCAUCCUCAUGGAUCCUACUUGGGUUCAUUAACCACUGAGUCACGAAGGGAACUCCCAAAAGUUAUGUAAUACUUUGAGUAAUUCAGCAGCUUUUGUAUUUGUUGUCAAGCACUCACAUAAAAGAAGACCUUCGCUGAUAAGUUGGUGUGGAUACUGCAUUAAUAAAAACAAAACAGUAAGUCCACACAUGUCUGCAGAUUUGUCUGCUUAUAAAGCAAAACUACAGUCCUUUAGGUGAGGUAAUAACUUGUAGAUAUUACCAUUUGAUGUAAUGAGCUACUGCAUCAUUGGCAAGUGGCAUUGCUAAUUUCUCUUACUGACUUUUCAUUCAGCAGAUAUUCAGCAGUGCCAGCCACGCAAAGGUUUAUUAGUUGCUCAGCUAUCUUGUACGCUGCUCCAACUGAUGCCUUCUGAUAAUUUACGUGGCAUGAUGCUUCUGUGGCUUUUUCAUUUCUAAUUUGGAGACAGUCUUUGGCUUUCUAAAGAGUUCAUCAUGUCAGUGUUUAAAACAUUCGAUUUCUUUUUCUUUAAAUCUACAAUGAAUUCAUUGGAUGAUAACAAGGUGGAAAUUAUAGCAGAUACAACCAAAGAUUACUACUGCUAGGAACGUACGUACGGGUGCUGAAAACACACGGAGUUAAUUUCUGAAAACAUGCACAUUUAUACCUUAAACUUGCUUUCCUAGAACAUUUUAAAUACAAGACUGUACAAGCAUGUGUUUCAUUAGCUGUCAGAAUGAUACAUUAUCGUCACAUAGCGUGGAUUCACCAUUGUGAAGAAGGCAGAUAACAUCUUUGUAUUACUAAAAAUUGUUUUGACAUUGUAGAUUCCCUGAAAAGCUCUCAGAUUCCCCCCAGGGGUCUCUGGAUUACACUUUGAAAAUGCUGAUAUAAGAGUUCCUGUUGUGGCUUAACGGAAACGAACCCAACUAGUAUCCAUGAGGAUGCGGGUUCAAUCCCUGUACCCACUCAGUGGAUUAAGGAUCUGGCGUUGCCUUAAGCUGCAGUGUAGGUUACAGAUGCUGCUCCAAUCUGGUGUGGCUGUGGCAUAAGCUGGCAGCUGCAGCUGUGAUUUGACCUCUAGUCCAGGAACUGCCAUGUGCCACACCUGCAGCCCUUAAAAAAAAAAAAAAAAAA